AUGAUUCGUGGGACGUCCUGCCGGUGGUGGCGAGUCGAAGGAGUGCACCCGUUGUGGUUUAUCCACUUCGGUUCUUGCGCGCCGGAGGCGGACCCCGAUGAAAUCCUACCGCGGUGCUCUUAACCGAGUGUCGAGGUGGGCCGGCACGUUUACUUUGAACAAAUUAGAGUGCUUAAAGCAGGCCUGUUGCGCCUGAAUACUGUGUGCAUGGAAUAAUGGAAUAGGACCUCGGUUCUAUUUUGUUGGUUUUCGGAACCCGAGGUAAUGAUUAAUAGGGACAGGCGGGGGCAUUCGUAUUGCGACGUUAGAGGUGAAAUUCUUGGAUCGUCGCAAGACGGACCGAAGCGAAAGCAUUUGCCAAGUAUGUUUUCAUUAAUCAAGAACGAAAGUUAGAGGUUCGAAGGCGAUCAGAUACCGCCCUAGUUCUAACCAUAAACGAUGCCAGCUAGCGAUCCGCCGAAGUUCCUCCGAUGACUCGGCGGGCAGCUCCCGGGAAACCAAAGCUUUUGGGUUCCGGGGGAAGUAUGGUUGCAAAGCUGAAACUUAAAGGAAUUGACGGAAGG
rnacentral:rRNA from 1 species